UACGAAGGGGGCUAGCGUUGUUCGGAUUUACUGGGCGUAAAGCGCACGUAGGCGGAUCGUUAAGUCGGGGGUGAAAUCCUGGAGCUCAACUCCAGAACUGCCUUUGAUACUGAAGAUCUUGAGUCCGGGAGAGGUGAGUGGAACUGCGAGUGUAGAGGUGAAAUUCGUAGAUAUUCGCAAGAACACCAGUGGCGAAGGCGGCUCACUGGCUCGUUUCUGACGCUCAGGCGCGACAGCGUGGGGAUCAAACAGG
rnacentral:rRNA from 1 species